UACGACUACAUAUCAGGCAUAUCAAUAAGCGGAGGAAAAGAAACUAACAAGGAUUCCCUUAGUAACGGCGAGUGAAGCGGGAAGAGCUCAAAUUUGAAAUCUUCAAGGUUCUACCUUGACGAAUUGUAGUUUAAAGAAGUGUUUUCUGUUAGAUGAGUAGCAAAAGUUCCUUGGAAUGGGACAUCAUAGAGGGUGAGAAUCCCGUAUUUGGUUAUUCAUUCUAGCUUUGUGAUACACCUUCAAAGAGUCGGAUUGUUUGGGAAUGCAGUCCAAAAUGGGUGGUAAAUUUCAUCUAAAGCUAAAUAUUGGCGAGAGACCGAUAGCGAACAAGUACCGUGAGGGAAAGAUGAAAAGAACUUUGAAAAGAGAGUUAAACAGUACGUGAAAUUGUCAAAAGGGAAGCGUUUGACACCAGUGUUGUUUUUCCGAAAAUCAAUUACGAAUGGCUUGAUUUUGUGUUGUAUUGACCUUAUCAGCUUUCUUCACUUUUUUCGAGUCUUUCUUAAUGCACUUUUCGGUUAACAAGUCAACAUCAAUUUCUUUUGUUGUAAAAGAGUAUUCGGAAGGUGGCUUCCUUUUCGGAGAAAGUGUUUAUAGCCCUAUACUUCUACAAUCGGAGAGAUUGAGGUCUGCAGCGUAGAUCCUUCGGGGUUAGAUACAUUUGUGCUAAGUUGUAGCUUUUCAUAGACAACUUGUUGACUAUGUUUAGUCAUGCGGCUUACUCGCUUAUGCUAUUUUACCUACGCUUAGGAUGUUGAAUAGCGACAUACGCAC
rnacentral:rRNA from 1 species